AUUUGCAUGGAAUUUUUUUAAUUUAAAAACAGUUUUACCUUCAAAACAUAAAAAUUCUGGGACCCCAAAAACAUGAGUCAUUUUCAUCCCUGUUUAAAAGAAUAAUUACCAGGAAAAAAGGUAUAUUGACUGAUGCAAUUCUUUUCACACAGUUGAUUAUUCUAUUUAAUAACAGCAGCACAAUAUUUAAUAUUCAGCACAAUAUUAAAAAAUGGGUUUCCAGCAAUAUCCAGUGAAGUUUCUGGAUGCUUACUUUAAGUAAAAUAACAGUUUAUUUGAAAGUGCUAAAACAUUUUAACUUGUUCUGAAUAUUUAUAAUGUUAUAAAAAUGCAAGUUAGCAAGUUCCCUAAUGAUAAAGCUUUUAUUAUGAAUUAAAUUAAAACUACAUUUAAGAGGAGAGAGUCCACUUGCCUUUCUCAAAUAAAAGUGUUUUAUUUUUUCUCCUCUUUCCCAAGAUGUAGCACACUAUGUUAAGGAGUAUGCUGGUCUUGUCAUAUUGAGAAAAGUCACAGACCAAUUUUUUCUGAUUUUUCUUGGUAUACAAUUUUAUUUUCUUAUUUUAUGAAAGAAAAUGCAAAUAAAAUUAGUUAACAAAAAGCUAAAAAAAGUGGAACCCAAUGAAAUGGGAGGGAUAAAAUAUUAAUGCAGUAACAAAGUGAGAACUCAAAUGAGUUUAGAUACGUAAUUUUUUUAAUGGUAAAUCACCUUGAAUCUGAUUAAUUUUAUACACUCCUGAGGGUUUGAAAUCAGACACUGUUUGAAAGAGAAGUGGUAAAAAAAAACCAGAAGUGUAUAUAUUUCUACAUAAAUAAUAUUCCUUUUGAGGCAGAGAUAAUUCAGAAAUUAUUCUGAAAUAGUUCACUUAUACCAAACAAUUGUUUGGGCUUUCUGCAAAGAUAUGGCAAUCUAUCCUUGUUCCAUUACAUUACCCUCUGGGUAGCAGCUGAAUUGGAUAUUUUUCAUAAAAAAAAAAAUGCAUAAGAGUGAUCCACAUACUUAGCCUUUGCUGUUUCCAAGGUAUUGCUUUUAUUUUUCAGCAGCUGCGCCUGCUGCACUGUCAGUGGCCAAACAGCAAACACAAGGCUUGGACAAGAGCUAAGAACUUGUAAUUGCAUUUUCAGUCAAUCUGAAUUCCAUUCUAAUGGGAAUGAGAAGGCAUUUUCUUUCAAAAAGCAAAGCUUGAGCAUACAGGUCCAGCAUACAUUUUAUAUACAUGUUCAUAUAUAUAUAUAUAUAUAUAUAUAUAUAUAUUAUAUAUAGAUUCUAAAGUUUCACUGUCAUUUUUAAUAUACUGAAAUACCUGCAAACAAAUAAUUGGUAACAAAACUGAGUGGCAGCCAAUGUGAUUUUUUUUUUUUUUUUUAAUUGCAUUAAACAUGCAACAAGACAAAGCUGGACAGGCUUCAAUCAGAAGACUCAAGUCAAAUGAUCUUUGUGAAGAAGCUAAAUUUUUUAAUAAUUAGAUAGUGGAAUUGACUCUUUGUCCCAUGAUGGUCAGUUAUUAAAAUCUCUUCUGACCUUUAGGAUUGUCGGUAUUUUGAUUGUGAAAAGACUGUUUUCCUUUACUGCUGUCCUGAAAUGUCUACUUGAGUUUAAUAUAUUGUUUUUCUGUAUGGUUAAAUGCAAAAUCUGCCAUAUAAAUUUCUAACGUUGUUGUUUUUCUCUCAUGAUUGAAAACAAAACAAAACAAAACAAAACAAACCACCAACUUCUGAAUCACUGUUAGGAGAUUGUAGUACAAGUGCAAAGUGGAUCAGGCAAAGUCAGUGUGUAGGGAAUUUUCCUGCUGAGUUCAGUCCUUCACAUAUUGAGGAAAAGAAUUGACUUAAACCUGGCCAGUAAACUGACUGUUUCUCUGAUGUAUGUAUUCCAUUCACGAUGGCAUGAAAUGUCAACAAUUUUAAGAAGAUUUCUAUAAGUAAUCUUGUGUAGCAUGUGCAGCAACAGUGUCUUGGGUUGUUUUUUCAACACUUUUUUAACCAAAAAAUUAGUUUCUUACAUUUUUUUCUCUUUCUGUGCUUUUGCCAGAGUACCUUUUCUCACUAAUGCAGUUCCUUCUGACAAGGUAGUAUAAUUCCUGAGUAUCUAGCUCUCAAAACCCAGCAAGGCUUUCAAAAGCCAGAAAGAUUAAUUAAGUUUAAAUACAUCAAGUAUUACAUCUUCCAUAAGUUUCAUACAUUUCUAAGUUUACUUUUACCUAGUGCUCUCUUUGAGACAGAAGGGGCACAAAUUAGGAUAAAUUUAAUUUUCCAUUGCUUUUCCACUUACAGCUUGGAAACAGGUCAUUAACUUCAUGUGGCUUGCAGCCUGAAAGAAAGUGGGAACACAUUAUUGUAUUAGUGUGGCAAAAAACAACCCCAAUGUAUUUGUUCUUAUUGAUAAUGAUAACUCAUGUCUUUGUGUAGGCCAUGGAUAUCUGAAUAUCUUAUGUAGGCAGGAGGUAAACAGUCUUUGCUAUUGCUUUAAGAAGACAAAUAAUGUUUCACGUUUUGAUUCAUAACUUAAAUUUCAUCUUGACAGAAAAUUGUAUUUGCCACGGAACAAGGUAUUUUCCAGCUUAGCAAUAACUUUAUUGAUGUCUUGACUCAUUUCUGAGAUAAAAACCCUUCACUGUUAUUUUUUUAUCUUAAGACCAUGCCUGACUGUGCCAAGCAAGAGUGCAACUGUAUCCUGCACCAUGAACGUAAAUAUGUACACAUGACCAUUUCAAACUGUCAAAACUUCUAUUAAGUUGGUGGAUCCUAUUAACAGGGAACUGACAGAUUAUUUUUCCUGAAUUUUGUUAUUAUUUAUGUUAGGAUUCAUAAACUACUGUGUUAGAGAUAGAGAGUCAUUGGUCUGAGUGAGAGCAUCAUUUUUCUUAGCCAAGAACAAACUGCACCCAAACACAUUUGGACAAAAUAUGACUUGGUCUGCACUAUUCCUUAUGUUGUAAAAAUCAUCCUAUUGCGGUUAGCAUUACCCUUGUAUAUGGUAGCAGAUUCCUCCUGAAAACCAGCUUAUUUUUUACUCAAAUUCAGACACUUUACUUGAGAUAAAUACAGUAUUGUCUUCAAGCAAUACUACUACAGACACUUUAGAACUGAUGUCACAGUACCAUUAGAUUAGGAAAUAUUAAUUUUUCAGGUUUAUGACAGGUUUUGGUAUUGGUCUAUAUAUUUCUGAAUUUCUAAUUCUGUAGAGACAGACGUUCUAACUGUUUUUUCUUUCAGUGGAAAUAGAUCGUUGUCCCCAUUCUGGUUGCUGUGGGACUUUGCCAAAAUAUGUCAAUUAUUUGUUCUUUCUCUAACUUCAAAUACUGUCUGAGUAAUGAUUUGACCUUGUUUACCAGCAUCCUUGAGUAGGUGAUAGAACUCUUUAGGGAGAAUUAAAGUUCCAAAAGCUUUUAUUUAUUUUUCCUUCUGCUUAUUUGUGUACAUUGUAAGUGCACAAACUGAAAUGUUUUGAGAGAGUUUUUAAUAAUCAUCAUUCUCAUUAAUGUGCCUGGUGCUGUGCCCAAAACUAAUCUUAAUUGGUGCACUUCAGAAGAUGUGUACUAAUUGGAAAGAGUCCAGAGCAAACAAACAGAUUUUAUCAGACAUCUAGAAAAUGUGAUCUACAAGGAGAGGCUCAGCUUGUUUAGGUAGUUGAGCACAACGAGAGAAAAAACAGAGUCUGUUCAUGGUAGUUAUCUUUGAUGAUAAUUUGACCUGCUCUCAGUGGGGGGUUGGACUAUGCAUUACUGGUAAGAUUUGUUGAGAAACAAGUCUUUUAAAAAGAACCUUAUGAUGGAAAUGCUGAGCUAAGACCUGGGAAAUGUGCACUCAGUUCUUGCCUCUUCCCAAAGUGGCCUUGGGAAAUCUCUCUGGUCUUUGAUCCACCAGCACUAAUGUGUUAAUAUUUUUCCACUCUGUUUUGUUUAUAGGGCUUAAACCAAUUAGGACUUUGGCACUGAAAAUAUAACUCUGUCAUGCUUGCAGCAUCUGAAUCUAAAAUUGCUCCAAACAAGCCUUGUUCUGCCUCUGACUCUUCAAAAUAUCUGACCUCACCUGUCAUUUCACUUUAAUAUUUUCCAAUUGGCUUGCAGGAUUUCUGCCUGUCUUUUGCCUAGUAUUGUCUCAGUCCGAACAAGUUAGUGAAUAAGUUGCUUAAACUCACUUAAAAGCAGGAACUGGUGCAACUUCAAGUUGUUUCCUGUCAUGCAGAGUCACUGUGUACAUUUGCAAAAAAGUCUAGAGACCUAAACUGCGUUGGUAUCAAGGCUCACUUUCAUCUGGUUUCCAAUGUCUGAGGUUUGCAAGUUCAUGCCUCAAAGUUAUGCUGGUUAGAGCAUUUCAUUGAGCUUGGGUUGUUCAUCAGACAGCCGAAACCAUUUCAGCUCUUUUGCUGUUGGCUAUAGAUAAAUAAGUGGUUCUGGCAGCACAGACCAAUCCCAAGAUCUCCCUGCUGAGGGAUUUAAUUGAUAAGUUAAUGCAAUUGUUGGCAUCUACACCUGGGAGCAGCCUUCUGUUCCAGAAUUGGAUAGCCCACUUAUGCUCCUGAGAGGUAUAGUAGCUGUGCUCUGAGCCUAGCUUUUGCUGUUGAUCAGUGAUAUGUCUCUUUGCUCAGAUGAGUGCAGGAUACAUUUUGAUUUGUUUAAGCUGUCCAGACAGUGCCUAUUAAUGUAUUGGCACCCUGUGAAGUGUACCUGACAGUUUUUAGCUCUUAGUUUGUGUGCUCUGAUAGUGGGUGAAGGGACUCAUUAUCUUGAUUAUGACCUAUAGGCAUUGUGAUACAAAUUAAAACAUACCUACAUACUUGCUUAUCUCAACUAUUUUGUAAGUGAAACAGAAGAGUAGAACGUAUUUCAAAGUGUCUGCAUUCCAAUUGCUAGCACUUCAUUUGAAUACAAGUGAGUAUUGUUUGGUAAAUAAGUUUUGUCAGCAGCAUUUCAGAGGCUCAUUUUUUAUGAGGAACUGGAUUAUAGCUUUUAUUCCCUAAGAGCUCAAAGCAAAAUAGGAGGAAAAAAUCUUGCAAUAGCGUAAACCUGAAAGAAGGUGGAGAUCUGGAUUGACUUUGUCCCCUAUCAUUCUGCUCAGACAGUUCAUUCCCCAUAUUACCAAUCUCAACAUUUGAACAAAAGCAGCAGCCAGCUAAAGCUAAUCUAGCCAUGAUUAAGGUAAUGCUGAUUAAGAUUGUACAUGUAUCGAUCCUGUACCUUUGUGGUUGCCACCACGACUUUAAACUCCUGUUCCCACCCUUUCCAGAGUGUACAGCCAUAGUUAAAACUAAUUGGAGUAAACUCUUCAGCGUUAGGGGUUUUGCUCAAAAACACUUUGGGAUAUUAAACUAAAUCUGUGUAUUUCACACUGAAAAAAUGAGGCAGCUGCAUGGUUCUGAGCUGCCAUUAAAAAAAGACCUCUGUUACUUUUCAUAAAAUGGCAAUUCACUGCCUGUACUGCCAUAGAAAAUAGAUCGCCAGGUGAUGUGUGCUGUGUAAGUCCCCUGUAGGAACAAAUAAUAAAUGGAACUGGUGGAAUAAAUUAUUCUAUUCUUUGGGUGAUAUUUAAGAGCAAUACAGAAUUUCUCUUAGCAGUGAUUUUCUUUUGGAGCUGAAAGUCCUGAGAUUAAUGCUGUAUGUAGUCCUUAUGAAGUUAGCAGACAUAUAAAUAUCCCACCCCUAAAAAUGCAUAUGCCAUCCAUAAAGUAGCUCAGUGGAUAUAAAAUACAGCAACUUGCAUCCUAAGCCAUAAGAAAUAAUUUUCUAGUUUCUUGAUUUCCUGUUCCCUCUCCUGUUUUUCCUGCCAGGUCUCAAAUCUACAAGAGAGUUAAGGGCUGUAGAGUUUACCGUAUGUGAACUGUGGAGAUUUUUAAUAAAUGGCUAUGAUCUGGUUUAGUAACUUCUUUUUUUUUUUUUUUUUAGUUAAUUCCGAGAAAUAUGGCACUGCCCACUUUGAGAAUAAGACUGCACAUCUAGAUGGAAUGUUUGUUCAAGAUGAUCAAAACUGUGGAUCUGAACUGAAGUGCACCCACUCAGAAGCUCUCUGUCGUAGACCAUGAACACCAAAGAGGCAAGUGAUGAUAAUAAUGUUUGCAAAACUUCUCAGCUCUUGUUCUCCUCUUUGUCUCCUGCCAAUGAGGAGUCAUCAACAUGAAUUCAUCUAAAGGUUCUAAGAAAGUGUUAUUUUUUUCAGUCAGCUGCUCAGUCUGCUGUGACCUGUGCUGGGCACAGUGACCGUGCUGGUUACUACCUGGCACAAUAUUGGUCACAGCAUCCUGGCUGCUGCAGGACGCUGGGCAGCACAAUGCCACACUGAGCAGUUUGAAGGACAGAUUCAGGUUUUUCAUAUAACCUUGUGCUAGUGCACAAAUGCAGCAAUUUACUCACCCAGAGGCUCUAACACUAGUCCCACUGAAUUCAGUUGGAGCAUUGUCAUUUAUUCCCAUAGGACUAUUACCUACAGUAGCUUCUGCUGUAUGUAGUUGUAUGCUUUUGUUAAGUCCUUUGUUUUAUUUUGAAACAUAGAACAAUUUUAUAUAUAUUUUUGUAUGUUUUGCAACAUUUUGUUUAGACUAAUUUGGAUUUUUUUUUCAGUUUUUGUACAUCCAUGGAAGUCCUAAUAUUUGCUAUAAAUAAACUUCAUUUGUUUUAUUUUGUCUUCUUUGGCUUCUGCACAUUUCCAACAGUGUUAGUACUCCCUCUUCAUGUAACAUAUGAUAGACAAAGCACUCUGAAUUUGACUUUGUAACAGUUAUGAUGGUUCUAUCCUGUCUUUUGGUAAUAUAUAUAUACAUAUACUUCAUGAAGCCAUUUCUGUCAAAGGUCUGGUUGAAGGGGAAGAUUUUUAAGAGCAUGAUUUCAGCCUUUUGAAUUUUUUAAUUUCCUUACUGAGGGCAGAGAAUAUGUGACCUCCAUUUUUUUGUUUCUUGGUUUGUCUAGAUAAGGGACAGCUUUUAUCCUCAAAUUCUGCCAUUCUCAACUUGUUUGGGCUUUUUGGAUAAUAGAGUUUGUUUACAACGCUGGUAUGGGGUUCAAUUGAAUUUGGCUGAAGCAUUGUUGUAGAUAUAUAAGAAUGAUGACCCUAAAUUCAUAGGUCUGAUUGGCUUGUAAUUAUUUGAGUGCUUUCAUUUACCUCUUGUGCUGUGUGGUUUAAAUCAGUUUAGAUGAAAAUGUAAAAAUAGUUUGCUGUAUUUGGCUUUAAUGUAUUUAUUACAGAUCUUUCAAAUAUUUUAAUUGUUUUUCACAUUUUUGAUGAUAAAAACAGGUGUUGUGAAGGAACAACUUUUAAAUUGUUCUAGACUGAUUCAUGCAAUGAUUUCUCUCUCAGUUUCCAGCAGGUAUGUGACUCAGUAGAAAAUUCUGUAGUUGAUGCACAUAUGUAAGUGUGUGUGUGUGUGGGUACAUGCACAGUUAUACAGCAAAGCAGAAGUUUCAGAAAGCAACGUGACACAAAGAAAAAAGAGUAUAUACAUUUUCAAUAUAAUAUUAAUUACAUAAGAAUGUGAACUUUUUCUGGAUUGGAAAAAAAAACCCAGCUAUUAUCUUAUCAAGGACCUUGAAAGUUCUACCUGUUCCUUUUCAGUCAGUCUGAUCUGCUGUUACAUGUUACAAGCAGCAAGUUAAAACAUGUAAUUAACUUCAAGAGAAUACAUUUUUCUUAAGUAAUGCUUAAAAUAAUUGUGGAAUAUGGAUUCCAAAUAGUCAAAUAUUUCUCACAGUGUGUCAUCAAUAUAAAUUUUUUUCCCUUUAAGAGCUUUGUCUUUUUAUUUCUCGAAACACUUUUUUUUUUUUCUUUGUAAUUUGGGAGACAUUCCAACAUAUUGAAUGACUUUCUGUUUGUUUGAGAAGACGUUUUGUAUUAUGUAAACUGUUUUAACUGCCUGGCAGAUAUUAUUUCCAUUUAUCACUUAUUUUUUCUAUUAUUUAUAUUGCAUUAUUUCUCCACAUUCCUCAGUAAAUCAAUAUAGCUGUCCAGCAAACCAAUGGAUUUUGUCUUAUUUCUUGUUUAAACUGUUAUGAUAAUAUUCAUCAUAACAGCUUUAUAAAUCUGAUGCAAAUCCAAACACUGGCCAGCUAUCUCUGGAUUGUUUUUGGUGUUUCCUGAAAGUCAUGCUGGAAUUGACAGAACCAGAACAAGAGAUUCAACUAUUGCCAGCUGACUGAGUCUAGAGAAAGUCUUAUGACCACAUGCUGAUAUGAUUCAUCCUAUAAAUCUUCAGUACUUAACAAAUGCACCUAGCGCAGUAAUUCAUGCAGGACAGAGGGACUGGGCAUGGGAGCGCUUCCAACACCGCAGCCCGGCCCAUCCACAAUUCAGCUGCCCAGCUGUUUGUGAGCAGAUGGCAAGCACAUCAAGCCUGAGCUGCAGCUCAGGCAAAGAUGGGAAAGAAAGAUUCACAUCUCUCAAAGCCCACCAGGAACUCAUUCCUGGUCCUGCUCUCCAUCUCUCAUCAAAGAUGCAGCCCAAGGGGCAUAGUCAUCAUAAUCAUACUGAACAAAUUUCUCUGGGUGGGCUUAGACCUUAAAGAGUGUGAACACAAGUUCUUUUUGAGAGGUGAAAGGGAGAAUAUGAAAAGUGGCUGCUUCUUGUUCCCCUAUGUUAUUGGUUGACAUUACUAUCAAGAAGUUAAUGAUGCCCUUGGUAGUGAUUCUGUGAUAGGAAUUUCCACUAUAAGGUCAUGUUAGAGAUGAUAUAUAGCCUUUAUAUCCCCUUUAUAUUGGGUUCCUUCCAACUCAGAAAACUCUAUUAUUCUAUUUUAUAUAUCUAGAUUUAUAGAUUUAUAGAUCUAUAGAUUUCUAUUUGUAUAUACACCAGCAUGAAGACUAUUUUACUAACAAGGGAGAAAUGUAAAUUGUAUUAUUUAUUGAAAAAGAUAGAUUUUGAAGAGUUAAAAGUCCUAGUUUGCUUGUCCUUGAAUUGAAUAUUAUUGAGGUCUAUUACAUCCUGUCCUCAUUUGGCAAAUAUCUACACAUUUGUUUUGAAAAAAGCAUUAAUCAAAACUGAUGCUGUCCUUUCCAUAAUCUAAAGACUAGUUCUGCUGACAACACAGUCGUGAAAGCUGCAAUUCCUGCUCACUUCUUUCUGAUCCAACAGUAUCCAGACUGUAGCAACAGCAGCUGCAUAUCUUCCCUGGCACAGAAUGAUUUAGGGUGGAGAGCAGAUUCUUUCCCCUUCAAAUCACUUCAGAAAAUUCUUGGCAGAAAGUCAGCUCAUUUGUUUUGUUUGAGUAAGGAGGCCUGAUUUAUCAGUACAGAAGAAGUAUUCAUGCACUGUGCUGAAUUGUAUGAAUUUGUAUGAAACUGUAUGAAUAUGUAUGAAGUUUCUGUGUCCCGGACUAGCUUGACUUUGCUAUUCUUCUGCUCCCAGCAUUUUUUAAAAUGUAAUUAUAGAAUUUCAUGUAAUUUUAAUGCAAAUAUAGAAAAUUGUACAAAUUUGUGGCAAUGUUUUCUAUUGAUUUCUCCAUUGAAGUUAAUGUAAUAGUUUGUGAUAUAGUUUGUGAUAUAGGAAAGCAUUGAUCACAGAUUAGACUGUAAUUAGAUUCUCUUUUUUUUGUUUCUUUUUAUUUUUUCUGAGUUGCUAGAUCUACUAAAUACUGUACCUUGAUAUAGAAAUAAGACUUGUAUUCUGAUCUAAUACACUUACUAACUUUUAGUCAAUUUUUUUAAAUUCCUACUAAAUUAAUUCUUAAUUAAAUUAUGAAAAUAAUUUUAAAGCAAUAAUAUAAGGUUUUCUAGAUUUCACAAUAAAGCCAAGUAUUAAAAUCACCUCAAUUCAUUAAAUAAGAUGUUCUGGGAUUUGGUCCUUUGGCAUUAUUUGUAGUUCAAGACGUGUGGUUUUAUAAAAAAACUACAAAGUUUCUUACUUUUUCUGUAUGAAUGCAUGUGCAAAUUUACAUAUUAUAGCGACAGCUUUAUUAUCUCUCAGUUUUUAAAAUGUUGCCUGAAUGUUUUCCAUAAUUCUGAGGUGUUGACAUCAGAUAUGGGGUUUUUUUGUCUACUCAGCAGGAAAUGGAUUGCAUUUCUGUAUCAUAUUUACUGGAGCAACAGACAGCUGAAGAGUGAGAUUUGCUGUUGUGCAGCCUGAAACUGAGAAGUCAUGCAGAAAAUCAAGGUUAGAAGUUUUACCUCAUGCUCAAAAAAUGCAUCUUCCAGUGUCUUCUCUCCAGUGCCACUCCCUACACCUUCAAACACAGCCUUGUAUUCCUAAAAGCACAGAAAACCACUCCAUGGAAAUAAGGUACUUUUGCAUUCUGUGCAGCACAGGCACCUUACAUUAAUCUAUAAAUUAAUCUUCGUUAAGUAAUCUUUCUGCAUAGAAGACCUCCUGCAUAGAUUACAAUUCUACAUAAAUCAAAAAUUAAAAGCAUGUAGUCAGCAAAAGAAAGAAAAAUCACAUUUUUUCUUGUAGUUCUUAUCAUCAUUUCCAAUAAUUUAAAGUAAUUUACUGAAGGCACUAAAAGAGACUUAUUGUAGAAUGACAUGUAACCUUUCUCUCCUUUGGACAGAGAGCACUGACCUUCUUGUACAAAUAGUAUCCAUCAGAGCCAGAGCUCUAAAUGGAGCCAAAACGUUGAACUCUGAUCAUCACAUGGCUGCUCCUUUUAUUUCCUGGAGUCAGCUGGAUUUGCUUUACCUGCAUUAAUAUUGUAUCCAAAUCCAUUAGUCUGAUUUGUCAUCCUGGAAUAUCCUGUGCAGAUACACUUGACUUGAUUUCUUAGGUGUUACGUUUCUGUGUAAUUUCCUUCUCUGUGUUUUUGGUUUGUUUUUUCCUUGAAGGAGGAGCGUAGUAGAGGUCUACCACAAUUGUUCCAAAAUUCAUCUAAAUAACCCACCAUCUCAUGAAUAGUCUUGUUCCAUACCUCACUGACAUGCAAGACUUUCUGCAUGCUGUCGGAAAGAACAAAUAAUUGAUGCAGAAGUUUUACCAUCAGCAUCCCAGGUAGACUGCUACUCACUACUGCCUCUAGUCCCUCCCUUAUCAGGCUGCCUGAUGAGAAGAAACCACAUCUUGCCUGGCACACAUUUUGGACUCCAAAUGGAUUCUGUAGUGGAGCACGUGAAAGGGGAGAGUUUACACUCUCUUAGCAUUUCUGGUUUGGCUUUCUCUGAUUUAGGACUGCUACUAGCAAAUCCUAAGAAGCUGUUCCAGAAACUUGGGUCAUUGUGACAUUUCCUCAAUCCUGGUGACUGGGGAAAAUGAGUUGUUUCGACCACAAAGUUAAAAUAAAUUUUCACCAUAUCAUAGAAUUAAUAUGAAAAAUUUUAUCUGCUAGUCAUCUUUUAGCAAGAGGCAUAAGCAAGCAUUUGAAUCAGUUCUUGCUGUUCAAAGCAGUGUAAUGUUUUCUUUUAGAAAAGGCCCCACUGCAAUGCAUAAUUGUGUUCAAACGCUGUAUUAAAAUUAUUGCAAAUUAUAGAUUGGGAUACUGUUAUAUGAUUUGGGCAUUUAUUAUAAUUAGGUUUCUUUGUGAAAUCUGAACUGAUAAUUAGGGAAAAGGACAGCAACACUCCCACUGACAGAAAUAAGGGUGUACCUGUAAGGAAGUUAAUUUGCAAUUAGCAAGGUAAGCAUUUAUGUGUACAGCAGCUACUUUUGCCUAUUUCCCCAUGUAUAUACUUCCUCAGCAUGCAAAAAGGCUGCCUACACUGAGACUUAAAGCAAGAGAACUGGUACAUUAUGAAUCAGGCUCCUACAUUUAGCACUGUAGCUUACUGAGAUAAACUUCAUAGAGUCUUCUAUUCAAGUUGGCUGCCACUCAAGGUUGCUCAGAGUGCUGUCCAGUCUGGCCAUGAAUGUUUCCAACAUCUCUAGGCAACCUCUUCCAGUGCUUCACCACCCUCUUUUUAAAAAAAUUCUUCCUUAUAUUUAGUCUGGAUCUAUCCUCUUUUAGUUUGAAACCAUUGCCCCUUGUCCUAUUGUUACAGGCCCUAUUAAAAGUUUGUCCCUAUCUUUCUUGUAACCCACCUCAGGUAUUGAAAGUUUGUAAUAAAGUCUUCCUAGAACAUUCUCCAGGCUCAACAGCCCCAACUGUUUUUCAGCUUUUCCUCAUAGGAGAGAUGUUCCAGCCCCAGCUGCAGAUUGUCUCAGUGGCCCUACUCUGGAGUCACUCCAACAGGUCCAUGUCCUUCCUGAGCUGGGGACCCUAGGGCUGGACACUAGUCCAGACAGGGUCUCACAAGGGCAGAGUAGAGGGGGAGAACCAUUUCCCUCUUUAGAUGAUUUAGAUGCAGCCAAAGACACUGUUGAUUUUCUGGGCUGUCAGCUCAUGUCUGAGUUUUCAUCCAAGAGUAGUAGACAUCCAAGUCCUUUUCCACAGGUCUGCUCUCAAUUCCUUCCUGCCCCAGCCUGUGUUGAUACCAGGGAUUGCCCAACCCAGGUGUAGGACCUUACACUUGGCCUCACUGACUCUCAUGAGACUCCCAUGGGCUCACUCCUCCAGCUCUGCUAAAUGACAUCCUGUCCCUCAGUUGUGUCAGCUGCACCACUCUGUUUGGUGUCACCUGCAAACUUGUUGACGGUGCACUUGAUCCCACUGUCUGUGUCUUUGAAGAAGAUAUCGAACAGUAAGGUUUGGUCAGCAGUCCCUAAGGACCCUUCAGGGGCACUGCUCAUCACCAAGCUCCAUCUGGAUUUUGAAGCACUGCCUGCUACUCUCUGGAUGCAACAACUCAGCCAGUUCCUUAUCCACCAAAUACAGUCUAUUCAUAAAUUCCAUAUCAAAUCACAUAACACACUUAGAAAAAGUCACUGUUUCAGUACAGAAUUCCACGUAGGAAGAGGAGAAAGAGAAUCCAAAUAUGAAAAGAGAAACCCAAUUGAAGAAAAAGGGAAAGGUAAGCAAGGUUAAGAGAGAAACAAAAAUCCAGUUAUACCCAGAAUUAGUCUAACUAUAUAAGACCAAGUUUUUAAAAGAUCACUAAUAUUUUGAUUUUACACUUAAAUUUCCUGUGAAAACUGUUAAUUUCUAUUUUUUUUUUGGUUGUUGUUGUUGCAAAGAGUACAAAAAUACUUGGCAUAUGCUGAGAUUAGAUAAUACUACUAUAUUAGAUUCAGAAAUGAAUUCCUACUUUUCUUGAUUCAUCUUCAGGAGAACCACAGAUAUCUAUCUUUAGUCAUACUCUGUAAAUGCCUUUCAAAUCAGUAGUUUUCAGGGGCUAACUACUUAAAGAAGACUGUAAAACCCAAAUAUAAGCCCCAAGUACUGACCAUUCUGAAGUGUGAUUAACAUCAUCAUAAGAUGAACAGAAAUAAAAACCUGCUGAUCAAGAGUAGUUUCACAAGACUUUGUUACUGUUCCUCAAUUCUCUGAUUGAUUGACUGAGUGAUUUCGUAAACCAUGACUUAAUAUAAGGCAUGAAAAAUAUUAACUAUGAGAUACUGAAUAGCCUUACCCAUCUCCCAAAAGCCAUGGAGGAAAUGUUAUACCCAGGAAUGUUGGGUUUAGAUACCUGUCAAUUACACAGCCUGCUUUGUAUUUCUUCAACUGAAUAAAUAAAUGCCAGC